GGAACAAGAAAACUCUAGAUUUGAUUUCUAAUCAAAUAAAAAGUGUGUAGUGUCACUUUUGUUCUA
rnacentral:tRNA from 1 species